UGGAGCGGUAGUUCAGUUGGUUAGAAUACCUGCCUGUCACGCAGGGGGUCGCGGGUUCGAGCCCCGUCCGUUCCGCCAC
rnacentral:tRNA from 9 species